CCCAAAUUCUGUUUGUGUUUCUUCUCAUUCCUUAUCCAUUUAUUCUACUUAAUUUUGUGUUUCUGUCCACUGUUUAUAUCUUUGCAAUUACUCCAUCUUAGCAACACACAAUUCCUUCCUCCAUUGUUACAAUAUUUCUGCACCUGAGUGACCUGCAGCGAAAUUACAACAAAAGAAAAAGGGCACUAAGUGUACAUGUUGGCCGACAUAACUUCAUACACCCCUCACUCUUACUGGAUACACCGUUUAUAUGUCAAAACUCAGCAUUCUAGAAAAAUGAGGGCUACAACAUUUUUACCAGAAGGUAUUUAAUUACUCAGGGAAGUUGCCUUGAGGCUCCAUUCAUAUCACACCUUUCCAUGUCCCAUGCACUCAUUGGUGUGGUAGUUUCACAUUUGGAGUUGGGUACCUGGGGAAUUGGGGAAGGAAUAUGGGAGUGGGUGUAGGAGAAAUUGGGCAUUUUGGGACACACAUCAUCUUAUUCAUCGACCAAAUUCUCUCCACCCACAAGGACAGUACUUUGGCAAGACAGUGUCCCUCGGAGAGGGGAGUUCUGGUCAUUUUUCAUAAUUUAUUGUCCCUUUUAAUUCUUAUCAAUAAAAAAAUUGCACUAAACUACUUUUGGAGCACUCUGUCAAAUAGGCACAUACAAUUCUGUUUAAAAAUAAUUUUGUUUUAAAUGGGUAACAAAUAGAGACUUUCUGUUGACAGCAGGCAUCACUUGAAAUAUGUUAUGAGCAUAAUUUGUUUUGGCUGACUAGCUACACAUUGCAAAAACAAAAUUCCAAUUAUCUGCAAAAAACAUCAGAGAAAAUGCACCCGAUGACAUAUAGCAGUGACACCCAGUAUGUUAGUUGAUCAUUGAAUGUUUUGCAGCAGUCAGGACCUCUCUAUAAAUAUUUACGUAUCUGUUGCAAAAAAUAAAAAUUAAAAUUAAGAACUCUGGCUCAUUAUGACUUUCUUCAUGGAACUGUGAAGACUUUUUAAUAGUGUAGGUCAAUACAGUUCAAUUCAGUUCAAAGUAUAGCUUUGCUGGAUGGAGUUCUUUAUGUCUGCAGCCAUUGGGAUAGUGAAAGAAGGAACCUAUGCAUCCUGCAGAAAAUGUUAGCCUAAAUGGUUUACUGCAAAGUGCCUUGUGAUUCAUAGGCAAAAGGUACACUUCAAGAAUAUCGAGUUAAUCACAUCAAACAAUUGGCAGAGUGCAUCCUGAGCCAGAAAGCUCAACCAGCAAUGGAAAGGCUUACAUAUUUGAUGCUGCACAUCACUGCAUCUGUCCCAAGGGAACUUAUAUCAGUUGACAUUAUGGGAAGUCCCCAGUAGAUGGAGUUGGAGCUCAAUUUCUUUUGUGAUACUAGACAUAUUUACAAAAUACAUUAACACUAGAAGGACCCUUUUCGAACUUUGCACUUGUUUUCUGAGCAAAAUGUAAACUGGAUUGACUUGAUAUUUUGUGACUUUUCAUCAAUUAUAUGAAAUAUUAACCACUCCUUCUUGGAGUGUCCUAUUUUUAUUAGGUUGUGAAACAUGAAGCUAUUCUACAUAGAAGGACGGUAGGGCCAACUUGGCCCUUCACAACAUUUCUGUGUAUUUUCAGGCUACUUGUUUGCAGUACUGCAUAUGAAAUCACGUCAACUGUAGUCCCUUUGUUGUUCAGAUAUGCAUCAACAAUGCCAUUCAAUGCUAUGCUUAUUUGUGGUUAGCUGAAGCAAGGAUUUCAGUUAUUGUCUGUUAUGACGGUACCUGAUAGUAAUUCCUGCAGUCACGAGCUAUGACUACAGGAAGCACCUAACAGUUGCCGAAAUACUAGAACUGAGAAAAAUAGAAGAUGAAAGCUCAGGCGAAGAAUUUCAGUUUUCUAACAGUAAUCAGGACAAUGAAGAAAGUGUUGUGGUUUCAGUAUCUGCAGAAGAAGAAUGUGAUUUGUGCAACGAAAAUGAUGAUGUAAACAUGGUCCAGAAUAGUUUUCCAACAAAUUUGGGGAAAAAAUGAAGCUUCGACAUCCAACAAGCCUUCUGAUGUUCCAAGUUCUAGCUCUGUAAGAUCAGCAACCCAGAGAAGAGUUAUCUGCCCCAAAGCCAGUCAAAAACUGAUACGGGUCUACAAAAACCUUCCGAGGAAAGAGAAACAGCAAAAGAUAGGACGGUGUGGAAAAUUGUACCAGUGGGUUCUAAUGCAGGUCGCCUGCAAGGUCAUAACAUUUUGCAGGACAUCCCAGGACCAACACCAUACACUAAAAGGAAAAUUCAAAAUGGGAAACUUCUUAGUGCUUGGUGAUUAGUUUUCAGUGCCUCCAUGAUAUGCCACAUCAAGCAGUACACUUGUCAUCGAACACAAGACAAUACCUGGACAGUAGACAUUGAAAAAUUGGAUACAUUUUUCGCCAUAAUGUAUGCAAGAGGAGUGUAUGGUGCCAAGAAUUAUCUUCUCAAAAGCCUAUGGUCAAUGGUAUGGGGGUCCUGUGUUUUUCAAACUAACUAUGGGGCGAAAUAGAGUUAUCAAAAUAAUGAAAUAUAUAAGGUUUGACACCAAGACCACUAGACCUGAACACCUCAAAACUGACAAAUUUGCUCUUGGGUCAGAUAUUUGGAAUGCUUUAUAGAAAACAGUUCAUCAUUCUAUAAAGCAGAACAUUAUCUUACAAUUGAUGAACAACUUUUGCCAUCUAAAACAAGAUGCCCUUUCACACAGUACAUUGCCGGCACGCGAGACAAGUUUGGUAUAAAACUCUGGUUACUUGUAUGCGUGACUGUACAUAUUGAGUGGAUUCCCUUACAUUAGUGCUGAUUCUCUUCAACCAGCUGACCAAGAUGUAGAUGGAAAUAUUAUGCUUAGGCUUGUGGAGCCAUACUUAGACAAAAGUUUGAAUGUCACUUUGCUAACCUUGCAAACUGACUGAGGGCAGCAGCCGCAACUUUAGUGGGUACUUGGAAUCAUAAUCGAAGGGAGGUACCUCCUAAUGCAAAGACUGGAAAACAACCAGUUCACUCAACUAUUGUGUAUAAAAAUGAUGAUGGAACAACCUAACAGUUUAUCAAGGGAAAAUUAAUAAGACUGUUUUUUUAUUGAGUUCACUUCAUUCUCAUGUAUCUCUGUCCAAAAGCCAGAACAACACCCCUGAAACAGUGCGGUUUUACAGUGAAAAAAAUUUGGGGUUGACAUUGUGAAUCAAAUGGCAAGGAUGUAAUCCACAAAAGAUGGUACAAGACAUUGGUCAAUACACGUAUUUUACAACACUCUUGAUUUUUCUGACAUAAAUUCCUGGAUGUUGUGUAAGAAAGUGACUGGUAGGUGACUUAUCAGGCAGAAGUAUAUUUUUGAUUUGUGUGAAGAGCUUUGGGCGCAGUAUGCAUCAGCAAGAAAUAAAGAGCUGGACUAGGAGCAUGCAGACACUAAAGACUAAAAGGGCAACAAAGGGAGAGAAGUGUAAAAGUCGUACUUCAUGCAAAGGAAAUCAUACUGCUACUGUUUGUUCAGGUUGUGAGAAAACAGUAUGUGACACACACACACACACACACACACACACACACACACACUCACACACGACCACGGUUUCUAGCAGCUGUGGUCCUGUGUGUGUGGACUGUGUUUGCGUGAGUCUGCGUUUCUAUGUUGCCUAUUUUUGAGGAAGGCCUUGUUGGCCAAAAGCACACUUUCCAACAGUUUUUUUUGUUGUGCCUGUCUGUGACUCAGCAUCUCCAUUAUAUGGUGCAUAGCAACUGUCCUUUUCAAAAUAUUGUUACAUUCCAUCCUGGGUUUUCCCUAUAUAAUGUAUUUAUUUUGUUAAUAAAAAUCAACAAAAACUGUAUAA